UUUGUUUCAAAUUCACUCCAUUUCUCUCGAAAUAUCCGCCCCUGAUAAUGAUAACGAUGAUGAAUGGAGAUAGCUUAAACCAUGAUGCUUUGAGCAGAGAUGCAAGACUGAGUUCAACAAAUUUCUUACUAGCGCUAAAAGAAACCUCAAAAUCUGCACUGACAGAGUCUCAAACUAUAAGAUGACGGAGAGUUUGUUCAAUAGAAGAGCUAUUUGCAGAGGAUGUGGAUUGAAACCAAAUACUCAAUUCUUGCUGUUCUUUUGUUACCUAAUGCAUAGCCGGAAGGACGAUUAGAAACACAAGCGAAGAUAUGCUUAAGUAUAUCAAGUCGUCAUCCUGAGCACUGACAAAUACUUCUGUAGUUCACAAAAAAGUCCAAUGUUUGUCGAAUUCCGGUGUUGAUCACGUUAAGUCAGAUUUCCCUGAGGUCCUUCGUUUCAUUAAUUUGUUGCGGACAUUUCGCUUACUAUUUUCUAAACAAUCAGACAUCCCAAUAUUUGAUGCUCAAUUUGAUUGUUGCUAGAAGGUUGAAUAUUCAUACAGAGCUUCAAUCAAUGAUAUCCAUCAUCAUAAGCUGAUGUGGAGGCUUUCAGUUAGGCUCACUGGUGUUCUCUUUUUGUAAGCAGCUUUUGUUCCACAAUUUAGUAUGCAGGUCAUGUUUGAAUACGGCUGGAUAACUCUUGGGUAAUUCCACAAACCAGAGACUUGGUUGAACGAUAUGAUGCCACAUCAACCUUGACUCACAUAUAGUUUUGUUGUUUUUGAGCAGACGCAUUCUAAAUCACCUACUGGAAGUUGCAUGUCACGAGUCAUUUCAAACUCGCGAUUUAUUGUAUUUUUUGUUUUGGGUUAGAAUUUUUAUGUCUGGGCUUCAUGGAGAGUUUCCUGAGAAGUUUAGAAAUUUGAAAUUUUUAUGUGCUGCAUAUUCAUAGCAUUCAUACAGAUGAGCUAUAAGAACACAGUGUAGAGUUCAUGCCUUUCUCAUUAUCCUUCUUCGUCACAUUGAGUGCACUUUUAUGGUUUCCUUAUGAUCUUCCACUUACAGACUUAUAUCUCUGUAAGAAAUUCACGCACGGUAUUUCUUUUUGAAUUGGAAAUCGUAUUCUCUAAUAUGUUCUGUGUAUGUGUAUGUAUUAGGUACAAAAUGUAGCAUGAUCGUUUUUGACACGUACCAUAUUCUAUUGCCAUUUUGUUAUGUGGACAAUUUCGUUCUAUCUAGCACUUCGGCUUGGAUUCAUUGUUUCACCUUAGGUUCAAAUUUUUGUGGUUGUAGGUUUAGGUUUUGAAGAUUUUUUGUCCCAUUACUGGAGCAGUCGCAUUUGCUAACGAGAUAAUUGGAUGCCUGCUGUUCAUCAGGAUAUAUAAAACCUCUCAGCGUAGGAGUGCUGCUUAUGCAGUUGCUAAACUAAACUUUACAGGAUUGGAGAUCGAACUGGAUAGUUGGUUAAUGGCUGAGCCACUGAGAUAAGAGAAGGUGGACAUACGAAAGCAACUGAUUAUAGAUUCUGCACACAAAGUUCAGCCGACCUCAACGUUAAGGAUUAGAGAUAUUUGGAUACACAAAUAUGUAAAUUGAACUUCUGAGAUUCGUUAAAGAUGAUUAUAUCUCAUGAUAAUGCCACAAAGAGAUGUUACCCAGUACGAAUAUCUCAUGUAGAUGUUGCAGUCGCAAAGAGAUGUAACCCAGUGCGAACAGGUUAUCAACAAUUGAACCAAAGUUCCCUCUAUGCGUACCGGAAAACCAAGCUAACAACGACCCCCACUUUAUCAAAUUCCGUGUAAUAAUCUGGCCAUCCAUUUUCAUGUUGUCUUCUUUGUUGUCAACCAAUCUUGUUUUUUUACAUAUACAGUGAUCUUU